ACUUAUUUAGUUUAAAUUAAGAAUAAUAGUUUGUGGGGCUAUAGGUAUAAGGUAUAUUUAUUAUGAGUU
rnacentral:tRNA from 1 species